AGAGUUUGAUCCUGGCUCAGGAUGAACGCUAGCUACAGGCUUAACACAUGCAAGUCGAGGGGCAGCAUUGGAGUAGCAAUACUUCAGAUGGCGACCGGCGCACGUGUGAGUAACACGUAUCCAACCUGCCGCUUACUCGGGGAUAGCCUUUCGAAAGAAAGAUUAAUACCCGAUGGUAUAAAGAGUUCGCAUGUUCUCUUUAUUAAAGAAUUUCGGUAAGCGAUGGGGAUGCGUUCCAUUAGGCAGUUGGCGGGGUAACGGCCCACCAAACCUACGAUGGAUAGGGGUUCUGAGAGGAAGGUCCCCCACAUUGGAACUGAGACACGGUCCAAACUCCUACGGGAGGCAGCAGUGAGGAAUAUUGGUCAAUGGACGAGAGUCUGAACCAGCCAAGUAGCGUGAAGGAUGACUGCCCUAUGGGUUGUAAACUUCUUUUAUAAGGGAAUAAAGUGAGGGACGUGUCCCUUUUUGUAUGUACCUUAUGAAUAAGGAUCGGCUAACUCCGUGCCAGCAGCCGCGGUA
rnacentral:rRNA from 1 species